AAGAUUUACACGCUCUGAAAAUCACCUUUUUGUCUAAAAAUUUACGAAAAACAUGGCCGCGGUGCGCAAAUAAUGAGUUGGUUAUUUCAAAAAUGUCCUAUUAUUCUUCAGUAAAACUUCUUGUUAAUUUAAGACUCUAAUAACUUGCUUGACAUACCCAUAGGCAAAUAUCUGUUAUCGGUGUAAUUACACCUUUGGAGAAAAGCGUGAUUCGCACGUUUUAAUUUCAUCAUUCGCCGCCUGAAGAGACAAGAUGGUGGAGCUUGCGAAAUCGAAAUAAAUAAUAAUUAAAGACACUGAUUCUGGUGUGCCUGGUAUGUGGCCUAUGGGGAUGAUAAGGUCUGGUAUUGGAGUUAAGACAAUGAAAUAGAAGAACUUCAUGCUAACACUUGCAUCAGUGGAAGUACUUCUUAUUGGAUAGAGAACUUUACAAGGUCAGCCAUCAGCUUUUGAAGUUGCUUUCUUGGCACAUCAUGCUGUCCAGUGGAGUUCAUACCAUAUGCCAGGCCUUUAUACAUGGUCAAAGAAGAUGAAUUUGUUAUUCAAUUUGUGAAAUUUGAU